rnacentral:rRNA from 1 species
UNUGACUUGAGUGCAGAAGGGGAGAGUGGAAUUCCAUGUGUAGCGGUGAAAUGCGUAGAUAUAUGGAGGAACACCAGUGGCGAAAGCGGCUCUCUGGUCUGUCACUGACGCUGAGGCUCGAAAGCGUGGGUAGCGAACAGGAUUAGAUACCCUGGUAGUCCACGCCGUAAACGAUGAGUGCUAGGUGUUAGGCCCUUUCCGGGGCUUAGUGCCGGAGCUAACGCAAUAAGCACUCCGCCUGGGGAGUACGACCGCAAGGUUGAAACUCAAAGGAAUUGACGGGGGCCCGCACAAGCGGUGGAGCAUGCGGUUUAAUUCGAAGCAACGCGAAGAACCUUACCAGGUCUUGACAUCCCGAUGCUAUUCUUAGAGAUAGGAAGUUACUUCGGUACAUCGGAGACAGGUGGUGCAUGGUUGUCGUCAGCUCGUGUCGUGAGAUGUUGGGUUAAGUCCCGCAACGAGCGCAACCCUUAUUGUUAGUUGCCAUCAUUAAGUUGGGCACUCUAGCGAGACUGCCGGUAAUAAACCGGAGGAAGGUGGGGAUGACGUCAAAUCAUCAUGCCCCUUAUGACCUGGGCUACACACGUGCUA